GACCCGGUGGUGUAGCGGUAACACGCCCGAUUCUCAUUCCGCGGGAGUCGCCCGUUCGAUUCGGGCCUGGGUCA